CCUACGGGAGGCAGCAGUAAGGAAUAUUGGACAAUGGGGGCAACCCUGAUCCAGCCAUGCCGCGUGCAGGAUGAAGUGCUCUGCACCGUAAACUGCUUUUACUUGGGAAAUUGUACCGAGAGAAUAAGGGACGGCUAACUUCGUGCCAGCAGCCGCGGUAAUACGAAGGUCCCAAGCGUUAUCCGGAUUUAUUGGGUUUAAAGGGUGCGUAGGCGGCUUAUUAAGUCAGUGGUGAAAGCCCCAAGCUUAACUUGGGAACUGCCAUUGAUACUGAUGAGCUUGAGUAGAUUUGAGGCGGGCGGAAUGUGUCGUGUAGCGGUGAAAUGCUUAGAUAUGACACAGAACACCAAUUGCGUAGGCAGCUCGCUAACUUUACUGACGCUGAGGCACGAAAGCAUGGGGAUCAAACAGGAUUAGAUACCCUUGUAGUC
rnacentral:rRNA from 1 species